GACGAACGCUGGCGGCGUGCUUAACACAUGCAAGUCGAACGAGAGCGUAGAGAAAGCUUGCUUUUUCUACAAUCUAGUGGCAAACGGGUGAGUAACACGUAAACAACCUGCCCUACGGAUGGGGACAACAGCUGGAAACGGCUGCUAAUACCGAAUACGUUCCGAAAGUCGCAUGACUAUCGGAAGAAAGGAUGGCCUCUAUUUAUAAGCUAUCGCCGGAGGAGGGGUUUGCGUCUGAUUAGCUAGGUGGAGGGGUAACGGCCCAACAAGGCGACGAUCAGUAGCCGGGCUGAAGGGAUGAACGGCCACAUUGGAGCUGAGACACGGUCCAGACCCCUACGGGAGGCAGCAGUGGGGAAUCUUCCGCAAUGGGCGAAAGCCUGACGGAGCAACGCCGCGGGAGGGAAGACGGCCGUCGGGUUGUAAAGCUCUGUUAUACGGGACGAAUAAUCUUGUGGUUAAUACCCAUGAGAAGUGACGGUACCGUAAGAGAAAGCCACGGCUAACUACGUG
rnacentral:rRNA from 1 species